GGCGAACGCUGGCGGCGUGCUUAACACAUGCAAGUCGAACGGAAAGGCCCUGCUUUUGUGGGGUGCUCGAGUGGCGAACGGGUGAGUAACACGUGAGUAACCUGCCCUUGACUUUGGGAUAACUUCAGGAAACUGGGGCUAAUACCGGAUAGGAGCUCCUGCUGCAUGGUGGGGGUUGGAAAGUUUCGGCGGUUGGGGAUGGACUCGCGGCUUAUCAGCUUGUUGGUGGGGUAGUGGCUUACCAAGGCUUUGACGGGUAGCCGGCCGGAGAGGGUGACCGGCCACAUUGGGACUGAGAUACGGCCCAGACUCCUACGGGAGGCAGCAGUGGGGAAUAUUGCACAAUGGGCGGAAGCCUGAUGCAGCAACGCCGCGUGCGGGAUGACGGCCUUCGGGUGGUAAACCGCUUUCGCCUGUGACGAAGCGUGAGUGACGGUAAUGGGUAAAGAAGCACCGGCUAACUACGUG
rnacentral:rRNA from 1 species